rnacentral:rRNA from 1 species
GAUGAACGCUGGCGGCGUGCCUAAUACAUGCAAGUCGAGCGAACGGACGAGAAGCUUGCUUCUCUGAUGUUAGCGGCGGACGGGUGAGUAACACGUGGAUAACCUACCUCUAAGACUGGGAUAACUUCGGGAAACCGUAGCUAAUACCGGAUAAUAUUUUGAACCGCAUGGUUCAAAAGUGAAAGACGGUCUUGCUGUCACUUAUAGAUGGAUCCGCGCUGCAUUAGCUAGUUGGUAAGGUAACGGCUUACCAAGGCAACGAUGCAUAGCCGACCUGAGAGGGUGAUCGGCCACACUGGAACUGAGACACGGUCCAGACUCCUACGGGAGGCAGCAGUAGGGAAUAUUCGGCAAUGGGCGAAAGCCUGACGGAGCAACGCCGCGUGAGUGAUGAAGGUCUUCGGAUCGUAAAACUCUGUUAUUAGGGAAGAACAUAUGUGUAAGUAACUGUGCACAUCUUGACGGUACCUAAUCAGAAAGCAACGGCUAACUACGUG